rnacentral:misc_RNA from 1 species
AUUGAUUUUUUGUUGUAGAUGAAUGAAUGGGAGGGGUUGGAGUUGAGAAUGGUGUUUUUCGGUAUUGGGGUGCAGAGAUUCUAGGGCUAGUUUUGGAAGAACUGGUUUUUGUAUAUCAAUUGCUGACAAAAUGAAUUCAGAUGCUAACCGUGCUGGCGGACAAGUAGAAAGGGAUAUUGAGCAGGCCAUAACUGCUUUAAAGAAGGGUGCAUACUUGCUCAAGUAUGGAAGAAGGGGGAAACCGAAGUUUUGUCCCUUUCGGUUGUCAAAUGAUGAGUCUGCUUUAAUAUGG